CCAAGCCGGCAGGCGUUGCAUGAUCGGUGUCGUGGGACUAAAUGGAAUUGACUGCCGUUAAUUCAACAAGUCAGAAAAUAAUGAAAUAGAUGAAGGACGUGGGAAAGUCCGGCAUAGAAGGUGAGACCCCUGUAGUCGAAAUUUCAUUAUCUUGUUUUUAGUAUCCCAAGUAAUACCGGACUCGUGUAAUCCGGUAUGAAUCUGGCGGGACCACCCGCUAAGCCUAAAUACUCUCUGGUGACCGAUAGUGAACAAGUACCGUGAGGGAAAGGCGAAAAGAACCCCGGGAGGGGAGUGAAAUAGAUCCUGAAACCGCAUGCAUACAAACAGUGGGAGCCUCGCAAGGGGUGACUGCGUACCUUUUGUAUAAUGGGUCAGCGACUUACAUUCAGUGGCAAGGUUAACCGAAUAGGGAAGCCGUAGAGAAAUCGAGUCCGAAUAGGGCGUCAUAGUCGCUGGGUGUAGACCCGAAACCAAGUGAUCUAUCCAUGGCCAGGAUGAAGGUGCCGUAACAGGUACUGGAGGUCCGAACCGACUAGUGUUGCAAAACUAGCGGAUGAGCUGUGGAUAGGGGUGAAAGGCUAAACAAACUUGGAGAUAGCUGGUUCUCUCCGAAAACUAUUUAGGUAGUGCCUCAAGUAUUACCGACGGGGGUAGAGCACUGUUUUGGCUAGGGGGUCAUGGCGACUUACCAAACCAAGGCAAACUCCGAAUACCGUCGAGUACAGCUUGGGAGACAGAGCACCGGGUGCUAACGUCCGGACUCAAGAGGGAAACAACCCAGACCGCCAGCUAAGGUCCCUAAAAUUGGCUAAGUGGGAAACGAAGUGGGAAGGCUAAAACAGUCAGGAUGUUGGCUUAGAAGCAGCCAUCAUUUAAAGAAAGCGUAAUAGCUCACUGAUCGAGUCGUCCUGCGCGGAAGAUGUAACGGGGCUAAGCCAGUUACCGAAGCUGCGGAUUUGCAAUUUAUUGCAAGUGGUAGGAGAGCGUUCUGUAGGCCUGUGAAGGUGUCUUGUAAAGGAUGCUGGAGGUAUCAGAAGUGCGAAUGCUGACAUAAGUAGCGACAAACAGAGUGAAAGACUCUGUCGCCGAAAAUACAAGGGUUCCUGCGUAAAGUUAAUCUUCGCAGGGUUAGUCGGCCCCUAAGGCGAGGGCGAAAGCCGUAGUCGAUGGGAACAAGGUAAAUAUUCCUUGACCUGAUGGUAGUGACGGAUCUCGUAUAUUGUAAGUUCUUAUUGGAUUGAACUUGCCUUGAAGAGGUCCCAGGAAAUAACUCCAUCAUUAAGACCGUACCCUAAACGGACACACGUGUAUUGGUAGAGAAUACCUAGGCGCUUGAGAGAAUGAUGUUGAAGGAACUCGGCAACUUGCCUCUGUAACUUCGGGAUAAAGAGGGCCUUAUUUUGCGCAAGCAGAGUAAGGUGGCACAAGCCAGGGAGUAGCGACUGUUUAACAAAAACACAGGACUCUGCUAACACGUAAGUGGAUGUAUAGGGUCUGACGCCUGCCCGGUGCCGGAAGGUUAAAGCAAGAUGUGCAAGCAUCGAACUGAAGCCCCGGUGAACGGCGGCCGUAACUAUAACGGUCCUAAGGUAGCGAAAUUCCUUGUCGGG
rnacentral:rRNA from 1 species